rnacentral:rRNA from 1 species
UUAACCGGAUUAGAUACCCUGGUAGUCCACGCCGUAAACGAUGUCGACUUGGAGGUUGUGCCCUUGAGGCGUGGCUUCCGGAGCUAACGCGUUAAGUCGACCGCCUGGGGAGUACGGCCGCAAGGUUAAAACUCAAAUGAAUUGACGGGGGCCCGCACAAGCGGUGGAGCAUGUGGUUUAAUUCGAUGCAACGCGAAGAACCUUACCUGGUCUUGACAUCCACGGAAGUUUUCAGAGAUGAGAAUGUGCCUUCGGGAACCGUGAGACAGGUGCUGCAUGGCUGUCGUCAGCUCGUGUUGUGAAAUGUUGGGUUAAGUCCCGCAACGAGCGCAACCCUUAUCCUUUGUUGCCAGCGGUCCGGCCGGGAACUCAAAGGAGACUGCCAGUGAUAAACUGGAGGAAGGUGGGGAUGACGUCAAGUCAUCAUGGCCCUUACGACCAGGGCUACACACGUGCUACAAUGGCGCAUACAAAGAGAAGCGACCUCGCGAGAGCAAGCGGACCUCAUAAAGUGCGUCGUAGUCCGGAUUGGAGUCUGCAACUCGACUCCAUGAAGUCGGAAUCGCU